AUCUGGGUGGCGGAAUUCAGGAUGGCUGGCGUACUCUCGCGGUGCGUCAGUCGUUUGCAAUUUCCGUCGCCAAUUACCGCAGACGUCGCGACCUGUUCGCGGUCGGUCCCUGCUCGGAGGAGCCGCGUUCGAGCUCGUUGUGUGCGCGUUUCGGCGUGUCACACGGCGAAGGCGCGGAUCUCUGGCUGGCCGUCGGACAGUAUGCUUAACGGUGUCCGGUGUCGUCGUCUUGUACGCGCGGCAUCGGUACCGGUCAGCGACGAAUUCUUCGGGCCUCUUUCCGACCCGUCUUGAAACACGGACCAAGGAGUCUAACAUGCGCGCGAGUCGCGGGGUAUCGAGCGUACUUCGGUGCGUUCGUUAUGUUGCGAAACCCGUACAUGUCGAAGGCGUAAUGAAAGUGAAUGGGGAAGAUGGCGUUCCGAGUUCACGUUCCGCGAUCAUUGGUAUCGCGGCCGGACGCCCGCAUUCCCGGGGCGUCUCAACGGCCCGUCGCUGAUGCGGACCGUCGUCCUUCGGGGCGGCUGUCGGUCGGCGACGAACCGA
rnacentral:rRNA from 1 species